rnacentral:ribozyme from 1 species
AGCCGUCCAGGCGGCUAUAAAUAGGCAUUAAGCCUGGAGCGUUUACGGGGCAAUACCCCGUAAGGUUGCA